rnacentral:rRNA from 1 species
GACAGAGGGUGCAAACGUUGUUCGGAAUUACUGGGCGUAAGGCGCGUGUAGGCAGCUCGGAAAGUCGGAUGUGAAAGCCCUGGGCUCAACCUAGGAAGUGCAUUCGAAACUUCCGAGCUGGAGUGCUGGAGAGGAAGGCGGAAUUCUCGGUGUAGAGGUGAAAUUCGUAGAUAUCGAGAGGAACACCGGUGGCGAAGGCGGCCUUCUGGACAGUUACUGACGCUGAGACGCGAAAGCGUGGGGAGCAAACAGG